CUAGUACUCCCUUCGUCUCAAAAUUUUGUCUUAAAUUUGUCUAGAUACGGAUGUAUCUGACACUAAAACGUAACUAGAUACAUCCGUAUUUAGACAAACUUAAGACAAGAAUUUUGGGACGGAGAAAGUAAAAG
rfam:Triticum aestivum genome assembly, contig: Triticum_aestivum_CS42_TGACv1_scaffold_161505_2DL